AUUUUGCUUUUAUCACGUUGAUCAAAAUGUGUCAAAUGUAUCUCUGUUGAUUCGUCUCAACUUCCAUUGAGUUUAUCUUGUGUCAUCUAUCCUAAUCACUGGUCAAAAAGUUUAAAAAAAAAUCUAAAGAGGAUCAUGUUUCUGCCAAAAGGAAGAAUGAAGAUAGAAAAUUUCCUGAAACAACAAUUCUUCACCUGAUGUUUAUUUGUUUGUGUUUUUUGUCUGGUCGCAGAGAUCAUCACACCUGCCAACAACAAACAGGUUUAAGAAAUUCUGGAUUUUCAGUCAGAAAUGAUCACACCGCCUGGGUGAAGAACCAAUCUCCAUGUGCAAGUCAACAAGGCAGAGAUGAAACACCAUGGUUGAUAAGGACUCUUGAUGUACUUACAUAAUAAAUCAGGGAAUAUGGAGGUUUCAGCAAUUCAAAUGUAAUAAUUCUAAAGAUAUUUUUAAUGCCAUCAUGAACAAAAUUCAAAACCCUUGAAAGAAAAAGCGUGGCGAUCAGGGACGGUUGGCAGAUCCUGCUGCAUCACAAUCAACUAUCCCAAAAACUGUGAAACCUCGGAAAUCUAAUUGUGCCUUUGCCAACAGCGCUGUGCUUUUCACACAACAUGGUUCUCUACAGCCUUAAACCCCCCGAGUGGCGAGUGGAAACAUUUUGAACCUGGCCUGGGAAGGAA